GGCACUUUGGCGGAGUGGUUAUCGCGCGGGCCUGCUAAGCCCGUUCCUUCGGGAGCCAGGGUUCGAGUAAGUUUGAUCCAGAAGAGCUU